UACGUAGGGUGCGAGCGUUAAUCGGAAUUACUGGGCGUAAAGUGUGCGCAGGCGGCUUCGCAAGUCGAGUGUGAAAUCCCCGAGCUCAACUUGGGAAUUGCAAUGGAUACUGGCAGGCUGGAGUAUGGUAGAGGAAGGUGGAAUUCCCGGUGUAGCAGUGAAAUGCGUAGAGAUCGGGAGGAACACCAGUGGCGAAGGCGAAUCUCUGGACAGUUACUGACACUGAGGCACGAAGGCCAGGGGAGCAAACGGG
rnacentral:rRNA from 1 species